UCCAGACUCCUACGGGAGGCAGCAGUGGGGGAUAUUGCACAAUGGGGGAAACCCUGAUGCAGCGACGCCGCGUGAGUGAAGAAGUAUUUCGGUAUGUAAAGCUCUAUCAGCAGGGAAGAAAAAAGACGGUACCUGACUAAGAAGCCCCGGCUAACUACGUGCCAGCAGCCGCGGUAAUACGUAGGGGGCAAGCGUUAUCCGGAUUUACUGGGUGUAAAGGGAGCGUAGACGGCAAUACAAGUCGGAAGUGAAAUACCCGGGCUCAACCUGGGAACUGCUUUGGAAACUGUAUGGCUGGAGUGCUGGAGAGGUAAGCGGAAUUCCUAGUGUAGCGGUGAAAUGCGUAGAUAUUAGGAGGAACACCAGUGGCGAAGGCGGCUUACUGGACAGUAACUGACGUUGAGGCUCGAAAGCGUGGGGAGCAAACAGGAUUAGAUACCCGCGUAU
rnacentral:rRNA from 1 species